CUACGGGGUGCAGCAGUGGGGAAUAUUGCACAAUGGGCGAAAGCCUGAUGCAGCAACGCCGCGUGCGGGAUGAAGGCCCUAGGGUUGUAAACCGCUUUCAGCAGGGAAGAAAAUGACGGUACCUGUAGAAGAAGGUGCGGCCAACUACGUGCCAGCAGCCGCGGUGACACGUAGGCACCAAGCGUUGUCCGGAUUUAUUGGGCGUAAAGAGCUCGUAGGCGGUUCAGUAAGUCGGGUGUGAAAACUCUGGGCUCAACCCAGAGACGCCACCCGAUACUGCUGUGACUAGAGUGCGGUAGGGGAGCGGGGAAUUCCUAGUGUAGCGGUGAAAUGCGCAGAUAUUAGGAGGAACACCAGUGGCGAAGGCGCCGCUCUGGGCCGUAACUGACGCUGAGGAGCGAAAGCGUGGGUAGCAAACAGGAUUAGAUACCCUGGUAGUC
rnacentral:rRNA from 1 species